AUUAAUUCUCAGGGCGGGGUGGAAUUCCCCACCGGCGGUGAUUCCCUGUGGGGACAGCCCGCGAGCGCCUGUCAUUAUGGCAGGGUCCAGCUGAUCUGGUGAGAUUCCAGAGCCGACGGUUAGAGUCCGGAAGGAAGAGAUAAGGC
rnacentral:ncRNA from 2 species